rnacentral:rRNA from 1 species
AGAGUUUGAUCAUGGCUCAGAAUCAACGCUGGCGGCGCGCUUAACACAUGCAAGUCGCACGAGAAAGUGGAGCAAUCCAUGAGUACAGUGGCGUACGGGUGAGUAACACGUGGAUCAUCUACCUCUUGAUGGGGAAUAACCCUGGGAAACCGGAGCUAAUACCGCAUAAGCCUGAAAAGGGAAAGCAGCGAUGCGUCGAGAGAGGAGUCCGCGGCCGAUUAGCUAGUUGGUAGGGUAAUGGCCUACCAAGGCAAUGAUCGGUAGCCGGCCUGAGAGGGCACACGGCCACACUGGCACUGAAACACGGGCCAGACUCCUACGGGAGGCAGCAGUGGGGAAUCUUGCACAAUGGGGGCAACCCUGAUGCAGCGACGCCGCGUGAGCGAUGAAGCCCUUCGGGGUGUAAAGCUCUUUCGGCAGGAACGAUAAUGACGGUACCUGCAGAAGAAGCUGCGGCUAACUACGUGCCAGCAGCCGCGGUAAUACGUAGGCAGCAAGCGUUGUUCGGAGUUACUGGGCGUAAAGAGUGUGUAGGCGGUUCUCUAAGUUCCGUGUGAAAUCUCCCGGCUCAACUGGGAGGGUGCGCGGAAAACUGGAGGGCUUGAGUAUGGGAGAGGAAAGCGGAAUUCCUGGUGUAGCGGUGAAAUGCGUAGAUAUCAGGAGGAACACCUGCGGUGUAGACAGCUUUCUGGACCAUCACUGACGCUGAGACACGAAAGCGUGGGUAGCAAACAGGAUUAGAUACCCUAGUAGUCC